rfam:Sphingobacterium spiritivorum ATCC 33861 genomic scaffold SCAFFOLD3, whole genome shotgun sequence.
AAGCAAACUGGUUCUAUCGCUGUUCCGAUUAUUCGGGAAAGAGGAAAGUCCGGGCAACACAGAGCAACUCACUUCCUAACGGGAAGGCUCCGCUCAGGCGGAGACAGCAAGUGCCACAGAAAAUAUACCGCCUUGUCUUUGACAGGUAAGGGUGAAAACGUGAGGUAAGAGCUCACGGUAUUGCAUGGCGACAUGGAUUACGGUAAACCUUGAGUGUUGAAAGACCAAAUAGGUUACGAAACCCGAAGGCUGCUCGUCUUCUUUUACUUCGGUAAAAUUCGUAAUGGGUAGGUUGAUGGAGUCUGUCAGCAAUGGCAGAUCUAGAUAAAUGAUAGAAAACCGAUUUUUCGGUGUACAGAACCCGGCUUAUAAGGUUUGCUUCCUU